rnacentral:rRNA from 1 species
UACAGAGGGGGCAAGCGUUGUUCGGAAUUACUGGGCGUAAAGGGCGCGUAGGCGGCCUUCUAAGUCGAACGUGAAAUCCCCGGGCUCAACCCGGGAACUGCGUCCGAUACUGGAAGGCUUGAAUCCGGGAGAGGGAUGUGGAAUUCCAGGUGUAGCGGUGAAAUGCGUAGAUAUCUGGAGGAACACCGGUGGCGAAGGCGACAUCCUGGACCGGUAUUGACGCUGAGGCGCGAAAGCCAGGGGAGCAAACGGGAUUAGAAACCCCCGUAGUCC